rfam:Triticum aestivum genome assembly, contig: Triticum_aestivum_CS42_TGACv1_scaffold_603073_7DL
AUAGCGGUUUUUUUUGAAACCACAUAUUCAUCAUUACAUAAAGUUU